GUAUGCUGCUUUUAUUUUAUUUUGGUUUUGGGGGGAUAAGACUUGCUAUGAGGACAGAUACUGCAGCUUUUUUUUUUUUUUUUAAGAACCAUUUCCUUUUCUUUUAAAUAUCCUUGUAGUCAUUUAACACACUGGUGUUCAUUCUUGCUGCAAAAGAAGGCCAUUGUGCUUCCUGACCCCAAAAGCAAGGAAUGGUGGCUGCUACAUGCAGUUUUAGAUCAAUCUACUAUAGUCAUGCUGCCCUGAGACCCAGAUAAUUCCUCUGUGAACUCUGGACACUCCGAAGCACCUUCAUGUUCACACAUUUGGAGAGCCUGUCAGCCUCUUGGGCCUCCAGUCUGCAUCUCUACUGAUCAUCCCAUUCUAUCCAUUACUCCUGGGAUGAGAGAAGCCUCCUUGCGAAGUCGGAAGAGGAGAAAGACUGUGGAUAAUCAUACUUUUAAUUUUUUAUCUCCAUCAGAGUAAAUAACUUUCUAAAAUACAUGAAUAUGAUCCUAUGAAUCUUUCUAAUCUGAAAGCAAUGCUGAGAGUCUAGUCAUUGGCAUAUAUUGCUGUG
ensembl:lncRNA